CCGAGGUAGCCGAAUUCCUCCUGUCCCGCACCCUCACCCCCUUCUGCAAAGAAGGAACGUUCCCUUGCUAGGGACUGAACGUUGGGAGCAACACGAAACUCAGAAGAGCGUCAGGGUUUGCAGGAGAAGCCAAGCGGUUCUGAGCCCGGGAGCCACAGAAGUCAAGUCCAGUCCAGUGUUCGCUGGGCAGCCCUUGGGCUGUGUGAUGAGUUAGGAUACGCUGCCCACCUGACUUUUCAAGUUCAGGACUUUUCUAGGGGAUGAGGAGGCAGGGUACUCCCCUCAUCUACUCUAUUACGCUUCUCCUGCUCGAUGGAUGGAACCACCAGAUCCCCACGCUGUGCAAGCAAAGCCAGUCCCAGCCAUGAAACAUGACACCUGUGAAGAUUUUUGACUGGAGGACUGUUACCCAUUAACCCAGGCCCUUUCAAUACAGUCAGGAGGUGAAUCAAAAAAGAUAUUGUGGGACUUCCCUGGUGGUGCAGUGGUUAAGAAUCUGCCUGCCAACGCAGGGGACACAGGUUUGAGCCCUGGUCCGGGAAGAUCCCCCAUGCUGCGGAGCAACUAAGCCCAUGAGCCACAACUACUGAGCCUGCGCUCUAGAGCCCGCAAGCCACAGCUACUGAGCCCGCGAGCCACAACUACUGAAGCCUGCACACCCUAGAGCCCGUGCUCCGCAACAAGAGAAGCCACUGCAAUGAGAAGCCCACGCACUGCAAACGAAGAGCAGCCCCUGCUCGCCACAACUAGAGAAAGCCUGCGCGUAGCAAC